CAAAAACAUCGCCUCUUGAAUAAACAACAUAAGAGGUAUUGCCUGCCCAGUGACCGCAUGUUCAACGGCCGCGGUACUUUAACCGUGCGAAGGUAGCGUAAUCAUUUGUCUUUUAAAUAAAGACCUGUAUGAAUGGCACAACGAGGGCUUAACUGUCUCCUUUUUCCAGUCAAUGAAAUUGAUCUCCCCGUGCAGAAGCGGGGGUCGCAACAUAAGACGAGAAGACCCUGUGGAGCUUCAGACGCUAAAUCAACCCUAGUCCAACACCCCUGCUCAAAGAGUUGAACGCUAUAGGAGACCUGAUCUUAUGUCUUCGGUUGGGGUGACCCCGGGGAAAAAGAAACCCCCGCGUGGAAUAGGGGUACUAUACUCCCAAAUCUAAGAGCCACCACUCAAAGCAUCAGUAAUUCUGACCAACACUUCAGGAUCCGGCUUAACGCCGAUUAACGGACCAAGUUACCCCAGGGAUAACAGCGCAAUCCUCUUUUAGAGUCCAUAUCGACAAGAGGGUUUACGACCUCGAUGUUGGAUCAGGACAUCCUAAUGGUGCAGCCGCUAUUAAGGGUUCGUUUGUUCAACGAUUAAAGUCCUACGUGAUCUGA
rnacentral:rRNA from 1 species